rnacentral:rRNA from 1 species
UGGGGAAUAUUGGACAAUGGAGGCAACUCUGAUCCAGCAAUUCUGUGUGUGUGAAGAAGGUUUUAGGACUGUAAAACACUUUUAGUAGGGAAGAAAGAAAUGACGGUACCUACAGAAGAAGCGACGGCUAAAUACGUGCCAGCAGCCGCGGUAAUACGUAUGUCGCGAGCGUUAUCCGGAAUUAUUGGGCUUAACGGGCAUCUAGGCGGUUAAACAAGUUGAAGGUGAAAACCUGUGGCUCAACCAUAGGCUUGCCUACAAAACUGUAUAACUAGAGUACUGGAAAGGUGGGUGGAACUACACGAGUAGAGGUGAAAUUCGUAGAUAUGUGUAGGAAUGCCGAUGAUGAAGAUAACUCACUGGACAGCAACUGACGCUGAAGUGCGAAAGCUAGGGGAGCAAACAGG